rnacentral:rRNA from 1 species
GUAGGUGGCAAGCGUUGUCCGGAAUUAUUGGGCGUAAAGCGCGCGCAGGUGGUUCUUUAAGUCUGAUGUGAAAGCCCCCGGCUCAACCGGGGAGGGUCAUUGGAAACUGGGGAACUUGAGUGCAGGAGAGGAAAGUGGAAUUCCACGUGUAGCGGUGAAAUGCGUAGAUAUGUGGAGGAACACCAGUGGCGAAGGCGGCUUUCUGGCCUGUAACUGACACUGAGGCGCGAAAGCGUGGGGAGCAAACAGGGAUUAGAUACCCUGGUAGUCACGCCGUAAACGAUGAGUGCUAAGUGUUGGGGGGGUUUCCCGCCCCUCAGUGCUGCAGCUAACGCAUUAAGCACUCCGCCUGGGGAGUACGGUCGCAAGACUG